AGUCACCAAUUAGACAACCACAACAUGCCCGCCCGCCCGCAAUAUUGGCAGCUGCAUGUCUCUGGGGGACCCUGAGGUGGACAGCCAGCCAGCUUUUGGGUCCCCCAUGAAAGAGGCUAACAAGUUAUGUGCCAGUGCACUCAAGGGGGGUGGCAUUUUUUGCUGCCCCCCUUAAAGUGCUGCCCAAGACAAAUGCCUUGUUAGCCUUGCUGUAAAUACAACACUGGCCUAUACUCAAGUAUGGCUAACUGCCCUAUUCCUCAAUCCAGUACCUUACUUUUUAAUGAAACUCAAUAGGCAGUAAAGGCAUCUAUCAUUUAUAUAGUUUGUGUCUCUUACCAGGGGAGGGAAAGGGGGGGGAGAAUACGUGUCAGGAGACUGACAAGCCGAGACAGGGACUAAACACGAGAAUAAAAAGUGUUUGAAUUAGUUUUUCUUUUCCUUUCUUCUCUUCUUUACAAUUGAGAAUAUACAUUCAAAAUGUUUUGGAAUGCUGAAUGUUGUAUAAUUCUGUAUACCACUUUAC